rnacentral:rRNA from 1 species
CACGUAGGGGGCGAGCGUUGUCCGGAUUCAUUGGGCGUAAAGCGCGCGCAGGCGGCUCGGAAAGUCGGAUGUGAAAACUCGGGGCUCAACCCCGAGCCUGCAGUCGAUACGGGCAGGCUAGAGUCCGGCAGGGGAGACUGGAAUUCCUGGUGUAGCGGUGAAAUGCGCAGAUAUCAGGAGGAACACCGGUGGCGAAGGCGGGUCUCUGGGCCGGAACUGACGCUAAGGAGCGAAAGCGUGGGGAGCGAACAGG